GGUUAGUGGCGCACGGGUGAGUAACACGUAGGUAACCUUUCCUUGAGAGGGGAACAACCCCGCGAAAGCGGGGCUAAUACCCCAUAAGACCACAGGUCGGAAGGCCAGAGGUAAAAGUCCCGAUGAAAAUCGGGAUACUUGAGGAUGGGCCUGCGGCCUAUCAGGUAGUUGGUAGGGUAAUGGCCUACCAAGCCUAAGACGGGUAGCCGGUCUGAGAGGACGGUCGGCCACACUGGAACUGAGACACGGUCCAGACUCCUACGGGAGGCAGCAGUGGGGAAUUUUGCACAAUGGGCGAAAGCCUGAUGCAGCGACGCCGCGUGGGGGAUGAAGGUCUUCGGAUUGUAAACUCCUUUUGCAGGGGACAAUUAUGAUGGUACCCUGCGAAUAAGCCACGGCUAACUCUGCGCCAGCAGCCGCAGUAAGACAGAGGUGGCGAGCGUUGUUCGGAAUUACCGGGCUUAAAGGGCGCGUAGCGGUGAGAUAAGUCUGAGGUGAAAUCCUAUGGCUUAACCAGAGAAUUGCCUUAGAAACUGUUUUACUUGAGUCAGCGAGGGGAUGGUGGAAUUCCCGGUGUAGCAGUGAAAUGCGUAGAUAUCGGGAGGAAGGCCGGUGGCGAAGGCGACCAUCUGGCGCUGAACUGACGCUGAGGCGCGAAAGCGUGGGGAGCAAGCAGGAUUAGAUACCCUGGUAGUCCACGCCCUAAACGGUGGGCACUAGGUGUAGGGCUCGUAAGGGUUCUGUGCCGAAGGGAAACCAUUAAGUGCCCGCCUGGGGAGUACGGCCGCAAGGUUGAAACUCAAAGGAAUUGACGGGGGCCCGCACAAGCGGUGGAGCAUGUGGUUUAAUUCGACGCUACGCGAGGAACCUUACCUGGGCUUGACAUGCUAGUAGUAAGAACCCGAAAGGGGGAUGAGCCCGAGCAAUCGGGAAGCUAGCACAGGUGCUGCAUGGCUGUCGUCAGCUCGUGUCGUGAGAUGUUGGGUUAAGUCCCGCAACGAGCGCAACCCUUAUCCUCUGUUACUCCGCAAGGAGGUCUCUGAGGAAACUGCCGGCGAUGAGCUGGAGGAAGGUGGGGAUGACGUCAAGUCCUCAUGGCCCUUAUGUCCAGGGCUACACACGUGUUACAAUGGGCGCUACAACGGGUUGCUAAGCCGCAAGGUGGAGCCAAUCCCUAAAAGGUGUCCUCAGUUCGGAUUGGAGUCUGCAACUCGACUCCAUGAAGCUGGAAUUGCUAGUAAUCGCGGAUCAGCACGCCGCGGUGAAUACGUUCCCGGGCCUUGUACACACCGCCCGUCAAGCCAUGGAAGCCGGGGGUACCCAAAGCCAGUGACCUAACCGUAAGGAAGGAGCUGUCUAAGGUAAAACCGGUGACUGGGGCUAAGUCGUAACAAGGUAACC
rnacentral:rRNA from 1 species